rnacentral:rRNA from 1 species
AGUCACUGACAUUAGAUACCCCUGUAGUCCAGGGUGUAAACGCUGCGGGCUUGGUGUUGGGGGUCCUUUGAGGGCGCCCAGUGCCGGAGAGAAGUUGUUAAGCCUGCUGCUUGGGGAGUGCGUCCGCAAGGAUGAAACUUAAAGGAAUUGGCGGGGGAGCACCGCAACGGGAGGAGCGUGCGGUUCAAUUGGAUUCAACGCCGGACAACUCACCAGGAGCGACGGUUACAUGAAGGCCAGGCUGAUGACCUUGCCUGAUUUUCCG